rnacentral:rRNA from 1 species
AUGGUUCGGGAGGAGGAUCUUGAUCUGGUGCUGGUGCCCCUGGGGCUGGCGGUGCUGGCCGGCUACCACCUGUGGCUCCUCCACGCCAUCCUGCGCCACCCGACCCGCACCGUCGUCGGCCUCAACGCCCUCGCCCGGAAGCGCUGGAUCGCCGUCAUGAUGGCCAACACGGAGAAGAACGGGGUGCUGGCCGUGCAGACGCUGCGGAACAACAUCAUGGCGUCCACGGUGCUGGCCACGACGGCCAUCACGCUCGUCUCCGUCAUCAGCGUCUUCAUCGGCGCCACGGCGGGCCGCUCCCCGGCGGCGCCCUCGCCCUCCUCGUCGUCGUCGCCGCUGCUGGUGUACGGGAGCAAGACGGGGCGGGUGUUCGCGGUCAAGUACCUGGCCAUCUCGCUCUGCUUCAUGCUCGCCUUCGUGUGCAACGUGCAGGCCAUCCGGCUGUACGCGCACGCCAGCUUCCUGCUGGGCCUGCCGCCGGGGGGAGACGAGGACGACGGCGGCGCGGCGGAGCAGUUCAGGGCGUACGUGGCGCGCACGGUGAACCGCGGCAGCCACGCCUGGUCGCUCGGCCUCCGCGCCUUCUACGUGUCCCUCGCGCUCUUCAUGUGGACCUUCGGCCCCAUCCCGAUGCUCGCCUGCAGCGUCCUCAUGUGCGCGCUGCUCUACUUCCUCGACACCUCCGCGGACUACGCCAAGGGGAUACAGCACAUGCACGGCGAAGGCGAAAGGGGCGCCCGCAAAGAUGGCGCCGUGUGA